rnacentral:lncRNA from 1 species
UGACUAUGCCUCGCCUCCUACUAGAUCCAACCCGAACUCUGCAGACUGGGCAAUUUAAAACGAAUGGCCCAGGGGAAAACAUUUAAUAAUGUUAGAGUGAGUGGACAAAAAAAUAAAAUAAAAUAUUUAUGUUUCCCCAAAUUAAUUUCUAAGGAAAAAUCGAAUGCAUGCCGCAAGCGAUAAAACUUUUAUCUCAUAAAAUAUCAAGCCUCUCAGACUCUAUAAUAUAUGUAUGUAUUUACACUCGUCCAUACUCCCCUAUAUAAAUUCAUGGGGUCUAUAUAGGGCUACUACGCUCGCGUCAAACGCCCACGUCACGCCUUAAUGCGGUGCUACACUACGCCAUCAAGGUGGACAGACGGGUGUAUAAAUAUGUGUCCAUACCCCCUAUAUGAAUUAAACACUCAAAUAGGGCUACUACGCUCACGUCCAACGUUCACGUCACACCAUAAUGCGGCUAUAUGCUACGCCAUUAAGGUGGACAGAAACAUAUGGCUAGCUAGCAUUUUCUAUACAUACUCUCUCAUAAUACAUAUUUAUAUACCACCGAAAAUCCCAUUUUCGGUAUCUCUCCAAGAGAAAUAAAAAUACGUCAAAAAUUAAAAUGAACGUCAAAAUGCUCCACGACAUUAAUUGUUCAUUCAUGAACCAUAGCAUGCAUGUUAUUUAAACAAAAGUCCACUCACAAAUUAGGCCUAAGCCUGAUGUCGAUCUGGGGCCUCGUCUGCUCGAGCCUCCUCACGUCCUGUUCCAAAUAUAAUAUUAAUUUCCCAACCAAUAAUCCAAUAUUUAAUCAAAAUAGGCAAAAUUACCCGAGAGCCAUAAAUACGCUCAUCAUUGCCUAACUUCGAUACUCUUAAAUCGGAACGAUCCGAACUUAAAUAUCAUACUCAACAGUCGUAAAUACAACCUCCCCAAAAUACGACUUAAAUCCUACGGCCGGAUUCUACAUUAAUUCACAAACCUAUCCAAAUCUCAUCCAAAAAUUCCAUAAAUCACAUCAAUAAACUCCCCUUAAUAUUCCAAAUUUAACAACAUUAAAAUCUCCCAACCGCCGGCGGCUCCGCUGGCAGCGGCGGCCGGAGGCCAAUUCCGACGACCUCCAAAACCUAUGAAAUUUUGACAGAAUAAUCUCCUCAUCAUGCUCUACAACUUUCCUGACCAGCACAUCACCCAAUUCCAAGCCUAACUAGGCUAAUCGAACGAAAACAUCCUAAAAGCCCUAGAAAUUUCAACUCCACAUUUCUCCUUACCUAGCUCAAGAGGGAGUGAGCUGAUUGGAGAGGUUGCUGUACGGGAGGAGGGCUACAAAAUGAGCCAAGGAUCGCCGGUUUUGGUGGCCGGAGGAGGGAGUUCCGACGGCCGGAAGUUCGGGGCAGCCUAACUUUUCGGGCGGCACCGCUCUCUCACGGCGGCGCUAGGGGGGCUGUCACCGGUCCUGGAAGAUAGCUCGGUCGGAGGACAACCGAACGGGACCGGAGCGGUGGCAGAUGGUGGCCGGACGGCGGUGUACGGGCGGCGAGAAGUUUCCGGCGGGGGAGAGGCUCGGGAGGAAACCGGGAAGAAGAGAGGAAGAAAAAAGAAAAAGUGAGGGCUGGGUUUGGGCCUGACCAACCCGGUCCAUCACCUAUAUAACAACCCAAUUCCAAAAAUAAAACACCCCGAAAAAUAAUACCCGAAUAAAAAUUACCUUUUACUAGCUAAAAUUUACCAUUUUUACCGUCGUCGAAAUUUUCUCUUACGAAUAAUCCUCCGCACAUAAUCGUCCCCGAAACCCCUCUAGGGACCAAUUAAACUAUUAACUCAAUGACGGAGACGGUAAAAUUCUUAUUAUAAUCAGGCUAGUAAAUAAGGUAAAAAUAUAAUGGUCGGGAUGUGACAAAAACCAUCUUAGCCGACGAAUACCCUACUAUUUCGUCGGCUUUAUUAAUUUUUUUAUUUUUUUAUUACAUACUAUAGCCGACGAAUGUAUUAGGGUAUUCGUCGGCUAAACCCUAAACUUUUUCUGUUACGUACUGUAGCCCUAUCUUCGGUGGUUAUUUUACGUAAAAUUUUUAUACGACUUGUUGCGUCUCAUCGAUUUGAAAAUAUUUUCAGUUAAAAGUCCGGCCAAAAUACGAAAUUUAGACGGUCCAACGACCUUUUCCGUGCAUUUAGGGGUUUGACUUAAGGGAUUGACCGUCCGGAUCGAGCACUUCACCUUGUCGGAUCAAGUUGCAUUUUUUCCCAUACAUGUAUUUUUUCAUG